CAGAGUAUAGCUCAAAUAGAAAGACAUCUCCCUUACACCGAGAAGAUAUCCGUGCAAAUCGAAUUACUCUGA
rnacentral:tRNA from 1 species